rnacentral:misc_RNA from 1 species
UUUCCGUAGGUGAACCUGCGGAAGGAUCAUUAUUGAAAAAGACAAGACGCCCCGUCUUUUCGUAAAAUGGGUUCAAUACCCACAACCGUGUAUACCUUACCUUUUGUUGCUUUGGCAGGCCGCCUCCGGGCGUUGGCUUCGGCUGACAGCGCCUGCCAGAGGACCCAAACUCUGUGUUUAGUGAUGUCUGAGUAAUAUAUAAUAUUUUAAAACUUUCAACAACGGAUCUCUUGGUUCUG